CAUAGUAAAAAAAGCCCCCAGGAAUCCUUCUGGCCUAAGCAUUUGGUUGUACUAUGAACAAAGAUUCCUCUUAGAUUGCCUACAGCAAAUGACCUGGUUGGUUUUUUUUUGGGCUCAGUGAAAUGAUAGACAGGACUGUAUACUAGAGGAAGGAAAGGCGAGAUGGGCUGCUGCACACAUUGGUUGAUCCAGAGAAUCUGCGGGUAAUGAACUGGAAAAGAAAAAAAAAGACCCUUCGGACUGAAAAUUUGAAUCAUUAAAAGCUUCGGAACCAACAGCUUCUUUUAGAAUUUCAGUCUUCUCUGAUUUGCUGUGUGAGUCAGUGCUAUAGUGGUCUGAGCCACAGGCCAAAUUGUCAAUCAAAAUGAGCAGGGCUUGUUCAUGGCCUCUGUUGUUUCAGAGAUUAUAUUAAACACUUUAAAAGGCUGCAGUAGCUCUUCCAGGGCACCAGAGUGGUCAUCAUGCCACACUUCUCCCUGGACUUUCAUUGAUUUAGAAUUUGCAUUUCUCAUUAUUUGCAAACGACCCUCUGGGUUCAAAAUUUGUAUUAUAAUUUGUAUUUUUACUGAAGCAUGAAUUAGAAUUAUGCUUGCUGGCUGGGAUGCUGGAGUUUAGCGGUGGCUUGCGUGGUUAGUGAAUGAGUUGGACACCCUGCCCCAGAUCUCUAGAGAAAAAAAUGCUCUCACUCAUUAUAUAAUAUAGAUUAUGGGGGGAACGGUGUGACAUAGUGGGUAUUUGUGAACAGGGGGAUUCAUAAAGGUCUUAGAAAGAAUUACUCACGAGCAUCAGACUGUACUGUCAGUAUUUCUUACUGUAAUGAAAUCCAAUACUGCAAUGCCUUUCUUAUCUGGGGGUGACUUAUCUGGCCAUUAACAAAUGACUUAUUCUGUAAUCAGUAUAGAGAGAAAAAGCGCUGCUGUUGAACACACAAUAUAGAUAUCCCGAGUUUACCCACAUAAAACUCAUGUGCUUAGCUCAAAGGCAAGCUCUUUGAGCCUUUGCCAGAACAUCCUCACUCUGUUUUUUCUUUUUUUUCUUCCCUGGUUUGGACCUUAGCUGCAAUUGGAAGUCCGCACCUCAGCACCGUAUGUGCCCGUGUGUUCAUGGCCUUUCCCACGUGCUAGUUUAUUUAGUGUUUUCUCUCCUUAUGACAUGCACUAAUGUGUUUAGAACAUGCUGUUUAAAUAAAUGAAUACCAUUUAAA